AACGAACGUUGGCGGCGUGGAUUAGGCAUGCAAGUCGAACGAGAAAGCACCCUUCGGGGUGUGAGUAAAGUGGCGAACGGGUGAGUAACGCGUGGGAAACCUACCCUUGAGCGGGGGAUAACGUCCUAACGGGGCGCUAAUACCGCAUAACACCGGAAUCAGGCAUCUGGAUCCGGUUAAAGAUGGCCUCUGUUUCAAGCUGUCACUUAAGGAUGGUCCCGCGUCCGAUUAGCUUGUUGGUAGGUAACGGCCUACCAAGGCGACGAUCGGUAGCCGGCCUGAGAGGGUGUCCGGCCACACUGGGACUGAGAUACGGCCCAGACUCCUACGGGAGGCAGCAGUCGAGAGGCUUCCACAAUGGGGGAAACCCUGAUGGAGCGACGCCGCGUGGGUGAGGAAGGUCUUCGGAUCGUAAAGCCCUGUCAGGAGGGAAGAAAACCGGAUUGGCUAAUACCCUUUCCGCUUGACGGUACCUCCAGAGGAAGCUCCGGCUAACUCCGUG
rnacentral:rRNA from 1 species